rnacentral:rRNA from 1 species
UGGGGAAUAUUGCGCAAUGGGGGAAACCCUGACGCAGCGACGCCGCGUGCGGGAUGAAGGCCUUCGGGUUGUAAACCGCUUUUGAUUGGGAGCAAGCUUUCUGGUGAGUGUACCUUUCGAAUAAGCGCCGGCUAACUACGUGCCAGCAGCCGCGGUAAUACGUAGGGCGCAAGCGUUAUCCGGAAUUAUUGGGCGUAAAGAGCUUGUAGGCGGUUCGUCGCGUCUGGUGUGAAAGCCCAUCGCUUAACGGUGGGUUUGCGCCGGGUACGGGCGGGCUAGAGUGCAGUAGGGGAGACUGGAAUUCCCGGUGUAACGGUGGAAUGUGUAGAUAUCGGGAAGAACACCAAUGGCGAAGGCAGGUCUCUGGGCUGUUACUGACGCUGAGAAGCGAAAGCGUGGGGAGCGAACAGG